AGAUACCCCACUAUGCCUGGCCCUAAAUCUUGAUGCUCGAUAUUACCUGAGCAUCCGCCCGAGAACUACGAGCACAAACGCUUAAAACUCUAAGGACUUGGCGGUGCCCCAAACCCACCUAGAGGAGCCUGUUCUGUAAUCGAUGAUCCACGAUAUUACCUGACCAUUUCUUGCACGAAACAGCCUAUAUACCGCCGUCGCCAGCCCACCUUUCCUGACAGCCCAACAGUGGACGCAAUAGCCUAACCCGCUAGUAAGACAGGUCAAGGUAUAGCCUAUGGAAUGGAAGCAAUGGGCUACAUUUUCUAGAUUAGAACAUACGGAUAGGGGUAUGAAACUGCCCCUGGAAGGCGGAUUUAGCAGUAAAGAGAGACAAUCGAGCCCUCUUUAAGCCGGCUCUGGAGCACGUACACACCGCC
rnacentral:rRNA from 1 species